AAAAAAAAAACUAAAUGAUGAAUUUUGUUUCAUUCUUAAGAUUGUCAGUCUGCUUGAAGGAGAGUUUCCCAAAUUAAAAACACUUCAGGGUGGCUGGAUGUUUUACAAGUCUACAGGUAUUUAUGUUUUGCAUGUUACAUAUAAACAAAAAAUGAUUUGUGUGCAUUUGCAAUAACUUUGCACUUUUGUAAAUUAAUGAAACUGGUAUGUGCUUUGUUGGCGUUAAUAAUUUAGUAAUAAGCUUCAUUAGUUUAAACUUUUUAGUCAAGGACAUGUUUCUCUGCCAUGUUCUAAGAUUAUGGCAUGCCCUACUUCAGUUUUCCAGUGGUAAACAGAGCUUUAUAGAACAUUUCUUUCCAAAAUUUUAGGUGACACAUUUAUAACAAUAUUGCUAGCCCAAGAAGGCAACAGUAGUCCUGAAUGUGAUUCUCAAUUGAUUUUGCCAUUUGGUGGGGGUGGGCGGCGUAAGCUGUCUAUAAUUCCCACAGAUGCUGAUGAAUACUCAACUCGACUCCUAAAAUCAGUGUCAAAUAAUGGAAAGAACAUGCUGUUUGUAGUUCCAUUACAGGAACAGCUUUCCACUGAACCAUUACCUUAUGAUUCUGUGGAGUUUGCUAAGAUGCCACAGUCCAGCUGUAUGAAAUGUGGUAAGAAAAUACCACUGCCAUUGCUGCCCUUACACAUUGAAGAGUGUAAAGAAGCUGAGACAGAGUCUUCAAAUGAUGUGACCAUUCUAGAUGAUGAUGUAGACGAAAAUGUAAUCGAAACUGUUGACCAGCCAAGCCUACUUCACCCCAUCUUAGAACCAUCAUUACAGGUCUUUGAUCAAAGCCUAUUUCUUGUAUUUGGGUAUACUCACUAUAUUUGAAUAUACCCAAUUCGUGGUUCCAUAAAGAAUGUGUUUGAAGCUAUUAAAAAUUUGAGACUAUUCUUAAUAUUUUAGAAUCUUUUUAUGGGGUAGAAUAUGUAUGUUCUUCAACAAAUUUGCUACAAACAUACAUUGUUUAAUUUAUUUUUACUUUUUACAGAUUUGUCCAAUUUGCCAGAUCUCUUUCCCAACUGAUGUCUUGCCUUUUCAUGCAAGCAUGUGUGGUGAAGGGUAAAGUUAUGCUAAAAAUUGUAGGAUGACAUGCCUUUAAUACUAAAGGAUUAGUUUGCACAGUUUGUUUUGGUUGUAUAUAUCUCGAGGGAGAUGUACAAAGAUCAGAUGGAAUGUAGGGUAAAAAAUUAACAAAAUAAUUUUCUGGUGGACUGUCUUAAAUUUAAAUUAAUGUGUUGGUUUCAUAAACUGGGUCAGUAGUAGACAUUAUUAGAUUUGAUGUAUGUAGCUUUUAUAAGCCUUGCUUUGAGAAAAUCAUUACUGGUUAAUUUUGACAUUAACGACUAUAUACAGUAUGUCAUUGUAAGUUACAUCCAGACUUUGUCUGGCACUAGGGUCUAAGCCUUGUCUAUGAAACUGGGCAAAUGCUUUUAAUAUGCAUGAAAAUUUUUGAAGUGGCUUAAUGAACACAAUUGAAAUUGUUUGUGUCUUGCCUGUUUUAGAGAAAGGACUUUUGGUGACAAUGAUUCUUCAUUCACUUUAAAUACAGAAGAAUUGCCAGGACCCUCAACUGCACAAUCUUCAACAUCCCUGUCUGCAGCAUGGAAAAAUGAAAUUGACCCAUUCAAAUCAUCUCGAAUGUUCUGUGAUG